GCUUGUCGUGGUGCACGGUUGAGAACUGUUGCUUCAAGUGCUGCAGCAAGUGUGAGUUCAACAUUCUCGCGAGCAAGUGC
rnacentral:tRNA from 1 species